AAAUUUUCCUUGGAGGUGGUCCCCGCAGGAUUUACUUCGGGUUUUAGGGUGAAAUUCGGGGUGGGUCCUGACAGAAAUUUUGCAGAGAUGAUCUACACAAUAUUAUCUAGAUACUAGACGGUGGAGAUGAGGAAAUUCGAUCGAAAAGUGGUGCAAAAAUGGAAAUCCGCACGAAAACCAUUGGUGCAGACGUCCGCAGCCGAGAAGAGUUGUAUAUAUAUAUAUAUAUUGUCACAUCCCGACCCUUAUAUUUUUACCUUAUUUACUAGCGUGAUUAUAAUAAGAAUUUUACCGUCUCGAUCAUUGAGUAAAUAGUUUAAUUGGUCCCUAGAGGGGUUUCGGGGACGAUUAUGUGCGGAGGAUUAUUCGUAUGAGGAAAAUACGACUACGGUAAAAAUGGUAAAUUUUAGCUAGUAAAAGGUAAUUUUUAUUCGGGUAUUAUUUUUCGGGGUGUUUUUAUUUUGGAAGUUUGGGUUUAAAAGGGGUGUUGGGUCGGCUGGGCCGAGCCCAACCCAUUUCUUCUUCUUUCUCUUCUCCCUCCCUCCCGAUUUUUCUUCUCUUCUCACCCGAUUUUCUUCUCUCUACACCCACCGGUUUUCCGGCCGCCCUCCCGCCGCCGUCCGACCUCCGUUCGCCACCGGACCGGUCCCGUUCGGUCGGUCUCCCUCCCAGCAACAUUUCUAGACCGGUGAGAGGAGCCCUAGCGCCGCCGUGAAGGAGCGGUGCCACCCGUAAGGUCCGACUGUCCAAACCUUCACUUCGCCGGAACUUCCUCCUCCGGCCACCAAUCCGGGCAAGCUUGGUAUGGUUUUGUAGCCCUCCAACCCAGCAACCUUGCCCUAAAAGGACUCACUCCCUCUUGAGCUAGGUAAGGAGAAAUUUGAAGUGGAAGUUUUAUGGUGUUUUUGAUGUUUUUAGUCGAUUGCCCUAGUUAGGCUUGGAAUUGGUGUUUGUGCUAGUUAUGAAAGUUGUAGAGCUUGAUGAGAAGAAGAUGCUGUUAAAAUUUCAUAGGUUUUGGAGGUCGCCGGAAUUGACCUCCGGCCGCCGCUGCCGGCGGAGCCACCGCCGGUUGGGAGAUUUUAAUGUUGUUAAAUUUGGAAUAUUAAGGGGAGUUUAUUGAAGUGAGUUAUGGAAUUUUUGGAUGAGUUUUGGAUAGGUUUAUGAAUUUCCGAAGUGUGGUAUUUUUGGCGGGUAAUUAAUGUAGAAUCCGGCCGUUGGAUUUAAGUCGUAUUUUGGAGAGGUUGUAUUUACGACUGUUGAGUAUGAUAUUUAAGUUCGGAUUGUUCCGAUGUAAGAAUAUCGAAGUUAGGCAAUAAUGAGCGUAAUUAUGGCUCUCGGGUAAUUUUGCCUAUUUUGAUUAAAUAUUGGAUUAUUGGUUGGG
rnacentral:lncRNA from 1 species